rnacentral:rRNA from 1 species
UGCCAGACUCCUACGGGAGGCAGCAGUGGGGAAUAUUGCACAAUGGGGGGAACCCUGAUGCAGCAACGCCGCGUGGGUGAAGAAGUACUUCGGUAUGUAAAGCCCUGUCAGCAGGGAAGAAUAUGACGGUACCUGACCAAGAAGCCCCGGCUAACUACGUGCCAGCAGCCGCGGUAAUACGCAGGGGGCAAGCGUUAUCCGGAUUUACUGGGUGUAAAGGGAGCGUAGACGGUUGUGCAAGUCAGAAGUGAAAGCCCGGGGCUCAACUCCGGGACUGCUUUUGAAACUGUGAAACUGGAGUGCAGGAGAGGUAAGCGGAAUUCCUGGUGUAGCGGUGAAAUGCGUAGAUAUCAGGAGGAACACCAGUGGCGAAGGCGGCCUACUGGACGGUGACUGACGCUGAGGCUCGAAAGCGUGGGGAGCAAACAGGAUUAGAUACCCGUGUACG